UUAAAUUGAAGAGUUUGAUCAUGGCUCAGAUUGAACGCUGGCGGCAGGCCUAACACAUGCAAGUCGAACGGUAACAGGAAGAAGCUUGCUUCUUUGCUGACGAGUGGCGGAUGGGUGAGUAAUGUCUGGGAAACUGCCUGAUGGAGAGGGAUAACUACUGGAAACGGUAGCUAAUACCGCAUAACGUCGCAAGACCAAAGAGGGGGACCUUCGGGCCUCUUGCCAUCGGAUGUGCCCAGAUGGGAUUAGCUAGUAGGUGGGGUAACGGCUCACCUAGGCGACGAUCCCUAGCUGGUCUGAGAGGAUGACCAGCCACACUGGAACUGAGACACGGUCCAGACUCCUACGGGAGGCAGCAGUGGGGAAUAUUGCACAAUGGGCGCAAGCCUGAUGCAGCCAUGCCGCGUGUAUGAAGAAGGCCUUCGGGUUGUAAAGUACUUUCAGCGGGGAGGAAGGGAGUAAAGUUAAUACCUUUGCUCAUUGACGUUACCCGCAGAAGAAGCACCGGCUAACUCCGUGCCAGCAGCCGCGGUAAUACGGAGGGUGCAAGCGUUAAUCGGAAUUACUGGGCGUAAAGCGCACGCAGGCGGUUUGUUAAGUCAGAUGUGAAAUCCCCGGGCUCAACCUGGGAACUGCAUCUGAUACUGGCAAGCUUGAGUCUCGUAGAGGGGGGUAGAAUUCCAGGUGUAGCGGUGAAAUGCGUAGAGAUCUGGAGGAAUACCGGUGGCGAAGGCGGCCCCCUGGACGAAGACUGACGCUCAGGUGCGAAAGCGUGGGGAGCAAACAGGAUUAGAUACCCUGGUAGUCCACGCCGUAAACGAUGUCGACUUGGAGGUUGUGCCCUUGAGGCGUGGCUUCCGGAGCUAACGCGUUAAGUCGACCGCCUGGGGAGUACGGCCGCAAGGUUAAAACUCAAAUGAAUUGACGGGGGCCCGCACAAGCGGUGGAGCAUGUGGUUUAAUUCGAUGCAACGCGAAGAACCUUACCUGGUCUUGACAUCCACAGAACUUUCCAGAGAUGGAUUGGUGCCUUCGGGAACUGUGAGACAGGUGCUGCAUGGCUGUCGUCAGCUCGUGUUGUGAAAUGUUGGGUUAAGUCCCGCAACGAGCGCAACCCUUAUCCUUUGUUGCCAGCGGUCCGGCCGGGAACUCAAAGGAGACUGCCAGUGAUAAACUGGAGGAAGGUGGGGAUGACGUCAAGUCAUCAUGGCCCUUACGACCAGGGCUACACACGUGCUACAAUGGCGCAUACAAAGAGAAGCGACCUCGCGAGAGCAAGCGGACCUCAUAAAGUGCGUCGUAGUCCGGAUUGGAGUCUGCAACUCGAUUCCAUGAAGUCGGAAUCGCUAGUAAUCGUGGAUCAGAAUGCCACGGUGAAUACGUUCCCGGGCCUUGUACACACCGCCCGUCACACCAUGGGAGUGGGUUGCAAAAGAAGUAGGUAGCUUAACCUUCGGGAGGGCGCUUACCACUUUGUGAUUCAUGACUGGGGUGAAGUCGUAACAAGGUAACCGUAGGGGAACCUGCGGUUGGAUCACCUCCUUACCUUAAAGAAGC
rnacentral:rRNA from 1 species